rnacentral:rRNA from 1 species
CGGCGUGCCUAAUACAUGCAAGUCGAGCGGACCAAAGGGAGCUUGCUCCUGGAGGUCAGCGGCGAACGGGUGAGUAACACGUGGGCAACCUGCCUGUAAGACUGGGAUAACAUCGAGAAAUCGGUGCUAAUACCGGAUAAUAAAAAGAACUGCAUGGUUCUUUUUUGAAAGAUGGUUUCGGCUAUCACUUACAGAUGGGCCCGCGGCGCAUUAGCUAGUUGGUGAGGUAACGGCUCACCAAGGCAACGAUGCGUAGCCGACCUGAGAGGGUGAUCGGCCACACUGGGACUGAGACACGGCCCAGACUCCUACGGGAGGCAGCAGUAGGGAAUCUUCCGCAAUGGACGAAAGUCUGACGGAGCAACGCCGCGUGAGUGAUGAAGGUUUUCGGAUCGUAAAACUCUGUUGUUAGGGAAGAACAAGUGCCGUUCGAAAGGGCGGCACCUUGACGGUACCUAACGAGAAAGCCACGGCUAACUACGUG